rnacentral:rRNA from 1 species
GACGAACGCUGGCGGCGUGCUUAACACAUGCAAGUCGAACGGAAAGGCCCUGCUUUUGUGGGGUGCUCGAGUGGCGAACGGGUGAGUAACACGUGAGUAACCUGCCCUUGACUUUGGGAUAACUUCAGGAAACUGGGGCUAAUACCGGAUAGGAGCUCCUGCUGCAUGGUGGGGGUGGGAAAGUUUCGGCGGUUGGGGAUGGACUCGCGGCUUAUGAGCUUGUUGGUGGGGUAGUGGCUUACCAAGGCUUUGACGGGUAGCCGGCCUGAGAGGGUGACCGGCCACAUUGGGACUGAGAUACGGCCCAGACUCCUACGGGAGGCAGCAGUGGGGAAUAUUGCACAAUGGGCGGAAGCCUGAUGCAGCAACGCCGCGUGCGGGAUGACGGCCUUCGGGUUGUAAACCGCUUUCGCCUGUGACGAAGCGUGAGUGACGGUAAUGGGUAAAGAAGCACCGGCUAACUACGUG